CUGACCUUGACUGGUCCAUCACCUAGGUCGAACACAUAGUGAACGUGUCCCUUCACCAACUCCACGGCGAUGAAGUCGCGUUCCCUUCCAGCGUUGAAGAGUAUCAAGCCGUUUGCCUCGCGUGUCUUGAACUGCAAGGCGUUCGAAUUUUCCAAACGAGUCUAACAUUGAAACUAAUUUCUGAACGACGGGGAAAUAUGAGAGAAGUUACGUUACUAUGUUAGUAAUGGAUACUGAAAGAGAACGAGAGAUCGUGAAAUAUUUUUCUGUAUAUUCACGCUUUAAACUGUUCCGUUAAAAUUUUUGAAUGUUUUUAAAAAUUGUUCUCGUGUUUUAGAGUACGUUCGAAAGACCAAUGGUUACGAAAUAGGAAACGAUAUUCCUAUUUCCCAUCCCUUCGUUGGAGAUACGAAGAAAAAUUAGUUGUCGAAUUAGGUGUUGGUUAUUGAAGUAUUCAUACCUGGAAGUAUAUGUUCGUUUCCACGUACGCUUUGAGCACAGGUAAGGAUACCCGUUGAACCAGAUUUGCUGCAAUUGCCCGACGAAGUGAGGUAUUUCCUCUCCGGCGUGAGAGUAACCGCCCACGUACAGCAUACGGAAUUCCAGAAUGCCUUGUUUCCCCAGCUGUGCUUCGGCUGUCG